AUCAGCAUUCGUUCUCUCGCAAAGCCUCCCAAAUCAACCAAUUAAACGUCAACUAUACAGACUGUUAAAACGAGAGUGAAAGAAAGGAAUACGGAGAAGAACAAGGUUGUUAGGCCCGCGUGGACGUGAACAAUGUUGCGCAGCAGCUGCUCGUGUCGUUGCACGUUUAUUUGUUUGUUUGCAAAACUAGGUGAUAUCUGUGCACAUUAGAAACUGUUCAUUACAAACAUUACACCAUCAUUCUAAGUCACGGUCAAGAAGCAGCGGAGAAGAGUGUUUUUCCCCCUCCCCGGUGCAGAAGAGGGCUGGACUGCAGCGCAGUGUUCUGGCUGGAGCUCUGCCAUUGUUUGAGAUUCCUGACGCGAGUGUCUGGCUGGAAGGAUGUUUUGUGGUGGGAAUGUGGCUGGAAGACCGGCACUGGAAUCAACUUAGUCCUGUAUAACCAUAGUCUGUCUGAACACAUAAUUACAGCUGUCUACUUUUGACUUAUUUGCAGCCUGUUAUUACCCAUAGUCUUGUGUACUUCUACAAUGUAAUCUACACACGUUAUCACAACUUCACUCGUGCACAGAGACAGAAGACAUGAUGCAAACAGCAGAUAAAACUCUCGAGAGGAAAUAAAUCUGUAACUUCUAAAAUCUGAAAAGACAUUAAACUCACUCUCAGCAAUAACAUCCUCCACGACUUCAAUGGCCUCGUCAAACUCUCCGGUCUCCACCUGGACUGGGUUGGCUCCCACUUCCAGCUCCUGAAUUAUGAGACAACCAAGCCCAAUUUUAAACACUGCUUUCCUCUUUUAUGCAAGGAAAAUAUGUACAAGUUAAACUUUAUUUGGAUUAAAGGAAGCGCAUAAACCAUAUUACUGAA